rfam:Vicugna pacos cont1.324131, whole genome shotgun sequence.
CAAGAUUUUCUUCUCCAGUGGGGAAUGCUGACCUGCAGCAAUCCUGGGAUCUUUAGAUACUUUAGCCCAAGCCAAU